rnacentral:tRNA from 1 species
GCCUUCGUGGUGUAAUGGUCUGCAUGCUCGACGCGUAACCGAGAGUUCCGUGGUUCGAUUCCUGGCAAAGGCG